AUUGAACGCUGGCGGAAUGCUUUACACAUGCAAGUCGAACGGCAGCACGGGGCAACCUGGUGGCGAGUGGCGAACAGGUGAGUAAUAUAUCGGAACGUGCCCAAUCGUGGGGGAUAACGUAGCGAAAGUUACGCUAAUACCGCAUACGAUCUACGGAUGAAAGCGGGGGAUCGCAAGACCUCGCGCGAAUGGAGCGGCCGAUAUCAGAUUAGGUAGUUGGUGGGGUAAAAGGCUCACCAAGCCAACGAUCUGUAGCUGGUCUGAGAGGACGACCAGCCACACUGGAACUGAGACACGGUCCAGACUCCUACGGGAGGCAGCAGUGGGGAAUUUUGGACAAUGGGCGCAAGCCUGAUCCAGCCAUUCCGCGUGCAGGAUGAAGGCCUCGG
rnacentral:rRNA from 1 species